rnacentral:rRNA from 1 species
AGCGAACGCUGGCGGCAGGCUUAACACAUGCAAGUCGAGCGGGCACUUCGGUGUCAGCGGCAGACGGGUGAGUAACACGUGGGAACGUACCCUUCGGUUCGGAAUAACGCUGGGAAACUAGCGCUAAUACCGGAUAAGCCCUUUGGGGGAAAGGUUUACUGCCGACGGAUCGGCCCGCGUCUGAUUAGCUAGUUGGUAGGGUAAUGGCCUACCAAGGCGACGAUCAGUAGCUGGUCUGAGAGGAUGAUCAGCCACACUGGGACUGAGACACGGCCCAGACUCCUACGGGAGGCAGCAGUGGGGAAUAUUGGACAAUGGGCGCAAGCCUGAUCCAGCAAUGCCGCGUGAGUGAUGAAGGCCUUAGGGUUGUAAAGCUCUUUUGUCCGGGACGAUAAUGACGGUACCGGAAGAAUAAGCCCCGGCUAACUUCGUG